UAGGGAAUCUUCGGCAAUGGACGAAAGUCUGACCGAGCAACGCCGCGUGAGUGAAGAAGGUUUUUGGAUCGUAAAACUCUGUUGUUAGAGAAGAACAAGGACGUUAGUAACUGAACGUCCCCUGACGGUAUCUAACCAGAAAGCCACGGCUAACUACGUGCCAGCAGCCGCGGUAAUACGUAGGUGGCAAGCGUUGUCCGGAUUGAUUGGGCGUAAAGCGCGCGCAGGCGGUUUCUUAAGUCUGUUGUGAAAGCCCCCGGCUCAACCGGGGGUGUUCAUUGGAAACUGGGAGAAUUGAGGGAAGACGAGGGGGGUGGAAUUUCGUGUGUAGCAGAGAAAUACGUAGACAUAUGGAGGAAAACCAGUGGCGAAGGCGGCUCUCUGGUCUGUAACUGACGCUGAGGAUCGAGAGCGUGGGGAGCAAACAGG
rnacentral:rRNA from 1 species